rnacentral:lncRNA from 1 species
CUUUUAUUAUUUUCAUUUUACAGAUAAAGAAACUAAUGCUGAGAGAAGUUAAAUAAUAUGCUCAAGGACAUACAAGUUAUAUGGCAGAGCUGGGAUUCCCUUCAGUAAUUCAACUUUAUGUCCUAAACCUUAAUCAUUAUGUUCCUGGAUACGCAGUACUUCCUAACACAGAAACUAAACCCUGGUAGGAAAAGGUUAAGAUCUCAAGGAAGACAAGACUUGGGCCAAGGCAGAUUGAGGGGAGAUGUCAAUACUCAGAGAAACCACAGCCACAGAAUUAUAAGGACUUGAAGGACCAUUUACAACUCUGGUGGCUUUUCUGAGCUUUGUUGAGUAAAAGGCAAGGAAACAUGACAUCGCAGAGGUCCUUACGGUACAGAGAAAAAGGAUUCUCAUACAAGCUGCUUAGAAGAACAAAUUACUGCUAAUUACCAGGAUGUUUAAUGGAGAUCAAUCUGAUAGUU